UCUGUAUUCUGUUCUACUUGGAAACAAGACAGUUCAGUGUUCUGUGCAUGAGUUAGGUGCUAAUAGCCCUUCUUCUUUGGCAGUAAAAAUACAGUUUGCAGCAGUGAGGUGAAGAGUCUGAUUUCAGCAAGUGGGUUGAUGGCUUUUCUAAGUUCUUCACCAUCCUCUGCCGUGGAGCGAAGGGCUGGAGUGUGGAAUCUCACGCUGAGCUGUCUUGUCUGUUGCCCCAAUGCAGGAGCAGGAACUCUGCCUUUUACAGUGAUGAGGAGAGAUGCUCUCUGUGGGCCCUGGGGAGUGACAGAAAAGCAGACUGUGCCAGCUUCCUCCGCACCCUGGCUCACACGGACAUUGCAUCUGUCUACCGUCUGAGUGGCUUUGAAUCCAUCCAGAAUCUUCCAAAUGACCUGAGCGGUCCCUCAGGAGGUCUCUCACCUGCAUCAAAGAGAGCCUGCGCAUAUUCAUCGACCUGGGGGAGAGAGACAAGGCUGCAGCGGCCUGGCUGGGGGCAGGACGACUCCACUACCUCCUGCAGGAAGAUGAGCUGGUGGAGCUCUACUUCCAGGUUGGUAAGGAUCUGCUGACUCCGGCUGUUUGCGGAGGCAGCUGCACCUUCCAUAGCUGGAUGAGAGUAGGGUGCUGUCCACACCAAGAGGUUGUGGGGCUCGGAGAGAGGUGUUAGGCUAG
rnacentral:lncRNA from 1 species